UACGUAGGGUGCGAGCGUUAAUCGGAAUUACCGGGCGUAAAGCGUGCGCAGGCGGUUUUGCAAGCCGGAUGUGAAAUCCCCGGGCUCAACCUGGGAAUGGCAUUUGGGACUGCAAGGCUCGAGUGCGGCAGAGGAGACUGGAAUUCCUGGUGUAGCAGUGAAAUGCGUAGAUAUCAGGAGGAAUACCGAUGGCGAAGGCAGGUCUCUGGGCUGACACUGACGCUCAUGCACGAAAGCGUGGGGAGCAAACAGG
rnacentral:rRNA from 1 species